rnacentral:rRNA from 1 species
UACUUUGGUGGCGACCGGCGCACGGGUGCGUAACGCGUAUGCAACCUACCUUUAACAGGGGCAUAACACUGAGAAAUUGGUACUAAUUCCCCAUAACAUUCGAGAAGGCAUCUUCUUGGGUUAAAAACUCCGGUGGUUAAAGAUGGGCAUGCGUUGUAUUAGCUAGUUGGUGAGGUAACGGCUCACCAAGGCGACGAUACAUAGGGGGACUGAGAGGUUAACCCCCCACAUUGGUACUGAGACACGGUCCAA